rnacentral:lncRNA from 1 species
UCACAGGUUGAUUUCUUUCUUCCCCAUAAUUUCUCUAAACUCUCUCUGUUUCUUGCUUCCUGAUGAAUGAUUCUCGUGUUAUUGUUUGCAGAAGAUGAAACCAGCCUACAGAGAAUACCAACGAAGAGAAACAUCAGGAAGGCUAUGAGAUGGUUAGUCGAAGGGAACAGAGCGAGGGACUCACUUGUGUUCCAUUUCUCUGGUCAUGGAUCUCAGCAGAAGGACUACAAUGGGGAUGAGAUCGACGGUCAAGAUGAAACCUUGUGCCCUUUAGACCAUGAAACAGAAGGAAAAAUCAUCGAUGACGAGAUUAACCGGAUACUCGUGAGGCCGCUCGUCCAUGGAGCUAAGCUUCAUGCUGUCAUUGACGCUUGUAACAGCGGGACUGUCCUUGAUUUACCCUUCGUUUGCAGGAUGGAGAGGUAAACUUAUAAAUCAUUCUUACCAGUUCAGUUCUACUUGACUGGAUCUGAAAAAGAAACUUGUGGUGUAUUUUGUGAAAAAUCAGAAAUGGUUCUUAUGAAUGGGAAGAUCAUAGAUCAGUCAGAGCUUACAAAGGAACAGAUGGUGGAGCAGCUUUCUGUUUCAGUGCUUGUGACGAUGAUGAAACCAGUGGUUACACUCCUGUAUGUUUAAAAUCUUCUAUUAUGUCAUCAUCAUCAUGCAACUAAUUAAUCACACAUACCUCUCCGCAAUCUUAACUGGAUCCUUUCGCGUUGUGUCAGGUGUUCACGGGGAAAAACACAGGAGC